rnacentral:rRNA from 1 species
AGGACGAACGCUGGCGGCGUGCCUAACACAUGCAAGUCGAACGAGGCGGCCCUUUCGGGGGCCAGUCGAGUGGCGGACGGGUGAGUAACACGUGAGCAAUCUACCCUUGUGCGGGGGAUAACCCGGGGAAACCCGGGCUAAUACCGCAUGUUUCGGGAGAACGACAUCGUUUUCCCGGGAAACGUGGCCUCUUUAC